rnacentral:rRNA from 1 species
UACCUCAGUAACGGCGAGUGAAGCGGUAACAGCUCAAAUUUGAAAGCUGCCAACAGGCCGCGUUGUAAUUUGUAGAAGAUGCUUUGGGUGUUGGCCUAGUCUAAGUUCCUUGGAACAGGACGUCAUAGAGGGUGAGAAUCCCGUAUGUGAUUAGUGCCAUCCCCCGUGUAAAGCUCUUUCGACGAGUCGAGUUGUUUGGGAAUGCAGCUCAAAAUGGGUGGUAAAUUUCAUCUAAAGCUAAAUAUUGGCCAGAGACCGAUAGCGCACAAGUAGAGUGAUCGAAAGAUGAAAAGCACUUUGGAAAGAGAGUUAAACAGUACGUGAAAUUGUUGAAAGGGAAGCGCUUGCAAUCAGACUUGCAGGCGGUUGAUCAUCCGAGGUUCUCCCCGGUGCACUCGAUCGCCUUCAGGCCAGCAUCGGUUUCAGUGGUGGGAUAAAGGCUGUGAGAAUGUGGCUCUUCGGAGUGUUAUAGCUCACGGUGCAAUGCCGCCUACUGGGACCGAGGACCGCGCUUCGGCUAGGAUGCUGGCGUAAUGGUUGUAAGCGACCCGUCUUGAAACACGGACCAAGGAGUCUAACAUCUAUGCGAGUGUUUGGGUGUCAAACCCAUACGCGUAAUGAAAGUGAACGUACCUAAGAAGUCUUUUGGACUGCAUUAGGGACCGAUCUUGAUGUCUUCGGAUGGAUUUGAGUAAGAGCAUAGCUGUUGGGACCCGAAAGAUGGUGAACUAUGCGUGAAUAGGGUGAAGCCAGAGGAAACUCUGGUGGAGGCUCGCAGCGGUUCUGACGUGCAAAUCGAUCGUCAAAUUUGCGUAUAGGGGCGAAAGACUAAUCGAACCAUUGGAGACCCUACUAGGUGGUUAAGAGGCAAGCAGAUCUAGUCCGCUGGAGACAGCGGGCAACACUCUCAAAUUGCGGGGACGUCCUGUGAGUGCAGCACUACCGCCCUGGGGCCGAAAGGUCCCGGGGCACCAGGUCAACUGGGUACGGUAACAAGGUGGCCUGCUAGGGAUAAUCCGCAGCCAAUUCCUACGGGCCGCUCGCGGCCUAGGGAAGCAGUUCACAGACUAAAUGGGAGUGGGCUCACCGCGAGCUUAAGUGAUAGUCGACCCCCCGCGAGAGCGGGUGGAACUAAGUGCUAGUAGCUGGUUCCUGCCGAAGUUUCCCUCAGGAUAGCAGUGUUGUUUUCAGUUUUAUGAGGUAAAGCGAAUGAUUAGAGGCCUUGGGGUUGAAACAACCUUAACCUAUUCUCAAACUUUAAAUAUGUAAGAAGUCCUUGUUGCUUAAUUGAACGUGGACAUUCGAAUGCACCAACACUAGUGGGCCAUUUUUGGUAAGCAGAACUGGCGAUGCGGGAUGAACCGAACGUGGAGUUAAGGUGCCGGAAUCUACGCUCAUCAGACACCACAAAAGGUGUUAGUUCAUCUAGACAGCAGGACGGUGGCCAUGGAAGUCGGAAUCCGCUAAGGAUUGUGUAACAACUCACCUGCCGAAUGAACUAGCCCUGAAAAUGGAUGGCGCUUAAGCGUAGUACCCAUACUCCACCGCUCGAGUAGAAACGAUGCUCGAGCGAGUAGGCAGGCGUGGGG